rnacentral:rRNA from 1 species
GAUGAACGCUGGCGGCGUGCCUAAUACAUGCAAGUCGAACGCAUAGCGAAAGGUGCUCGCACCUUUCAAGUGAGUGGCGAACGGGUGAGUAACACGUGGACAACCUGCCUCAAGGCUGGGGAUAACAUUUGGAAACAGAUGCUAAUACCGAAUAAAACUUAGUGUCGCAUGACACAAAGUUAAAAGGCGCUUCGGCGUCACCUAGAGAUGGAUCCGCGGUGCAUUAGUUAGUUGGUGGGGUAAAGGCCUACCAAGACAAUGAUGCAUAGCCGAGUUGAGAGACUGAUCGGCCACAUUGGGACUGAGACACGGCCCAAACUCCUACGGGAGGCUGCAGUAGGGAAUCUUCCACAAUGGGCGAAAGCCUGAUGGAGCAACGCCGCGUGUGUGAUGAAGGCUUUCGGGUCGUAAAGCACUGUUGUAUGGGAAGAACAGCUAGAAUAGGAAAUGAUUUUAGUUUGACGGUACCAUACCAGAAAGGGACGGCUAAAUACGUG